GAAAGCCGUAUGCGGGAAAACUGCACGUACGGUUUGAUGAGGGGGCGGUGGUAACCCCACUGCUCUACUCUAU
rfam:[Clostridium] clariflavum DSM 19732 chromosome, complete genome.